GGGGCACUCAGAUGGAGAGGCUGCCUCCGCCCACAGAACAGCCAUGGCCAGCGCGUCAGGACGGCAGCUCUCAGAUGGAGCGGCUGCCGCCCAUGAAAUCCGAGGAGAAUGCACGCGGCGGACUCCCUUCACACCUCCCUCUGCGCGUCGGUUUUCGGUCUACUUCUCCCCAUCGCCUGCAGCUAAGGUGGCCGGAGGUGAGAGGGACGAGGGACUGCCUCCAUAUUUGAGUUGCUUUCUCUUUCCAAUAGUAAUUUUUUUCCUAUCCAUGGCGGGUGGGAGGAUUGACGGUGGAGGAGCUCUUCUCCUUGAUUCGUAUGUGGAGCCGCCAGAUCUUUUGUUUCCCAAUCUAGCACCAUCGUUUUUCAGGGAGAUCUUUUGUUUCCCAAUCUAGCACCAUCAUUUUCCAGGGCCGGGGUCAGCUUUGGUUGUUGGUUUCUUCAGAGGCCGUCAUGCUGGUCCGGGCACGUAGUGUGCCGCUAGCCUAGCAGUGCCAAGGUCGUCAUCGCACACGGUGGGCGGUGGGCAUCAUGGACGCCUUCACCGUCUUCUCCGGCUUCCAUAUAGUUGCCAGCAGGUGUGAUGUUCUAUAGCUACCUCUGAUGGAGCCAUGGAGAUACCAUUUGGACAGCUCAUUAGUUCCAUUCUCGGACCAAUUCCUAAUGAUUGUUAUUGUUUUAUUCUAGAACUGGAACUGCAUCCAUCUCAAAAUUUAAGCUUAUACUUUUCAGCGAAGCAGUGUCAGAAAAUGUGCCUAUCUUACUUCCCUAUCUUUUUCCCUCUUGGUCAUGAUAUUCUUGAGGAUAUAGAUUAUGGUCGACUGGAUGCUCCGACCGCAUCAAUAUUAUGAGAUUCUAGACCCCAAAAGAUGUUUGGAUGCGAGAUCAUUCCUACUUCAGGUUUAUCAGAGUUUCUUUCUUGCCACUUCAUCUGAAGGACAUAUCAUAUCCUCAUUAACUGGUUAGAUUCUCACCGUAUCUCUUUCCAGUGUUGGCUUCUGAAUUUACUUCAUGUGUUAGUACUAAUAGAUGCAUUUAGAUUUUUCAAUGCUACAAAGAUAUUUGUUCUACUCUUGCAUUAGUUUCCUUUGUUGUGCCAACCAUUGUCCAUGCAGAUCUAGGAUUGCAGCAGUGCCAAAUAGACCUAACUUUGUACAUUUUAGUGUUGUUCACAAAAUGGAAGUCGUAGCUUAUAUCUCUCUCUCCUGACCGUUCUCUUAUGGACUGUUUUAUAAAAGGUCAGAUUAUUUGUUGUAGCCUGUAAAUGCUCUGUGUAAUGACUACAGGCUACAGGCAAUGGGUUCUUUAUAUUCCAGUACCACUUUCCUAUUGUUUUGUUCACCCUCCUUAGUCCUUAUUAACGCCAUAUCCCUCAAGCAUUUCAGGAUUGACGCUGCAACUGUCACAAGAUAUGCCAUUUUUCCAAUAUCUGAACUAAGCUCAUAGUGAUUGGUGUGUAAAGGUACCCCAUAAGUAUGUGUGGUGCCGGCCGUGGGCGAUGCCAGCAUCCGUCUUCCUCGCCUUCUCUGGUUCCGCAGCAUUAUCGUGGCAUCCAAGAUGUUUCUGCUCAACUGGCUCCUGGUCACGGCAGUUCCUCUGCCAGUGCAUCCAAGGCGAGGCAAACCUCUGGGUUGGGCGAGGUCGCGGACGAUCGGCUGGCCGUGCAGUUUCUCUUUUCUACAGCUAUCCAGGCCUGUUUGUCCGGCUGGUGUUAGUCCUUCAUUACCAGUGGUUGAUACUUCUUUCUCCGUCUAUUGGCCCGAGUUCUCUAUUGGCUUUAGGUGUUUUGUCUGAGGUGGAUUCUCGGAGGCGCCAGAUUUGGUUGAGGAAGUGGCCUGACAACCAUUGGAUAAUUUAUCCAGAGCAUUUGCAUGUUCAGAUGUUGAAGAACUUUCCAUCAAUAAGUUUGGCAGAAAUGGCUAUUCUCUAGCACAUCCCUUAAUAUAUCUAUAGAAACUAUUGGUACUGGAAGAUUAUUUGGUAAUAGAUUGAACCCCAUGAGAAGUUAAAUGCAGAUCAGCAUGAUUAGUUCACUUGCAAGAUCUUUUCUGCGGUUGUCCAUCCGUCUCAUAUUGUUGGAUUUCUAUUAUAUGUACCUUGCACAUUCGGUUGAUCUCAAUGUUUUCUUUCUGCUGCUGAAAA